AACAAACGCUGGCGGCGUGCCUAAUACAUGCAAGUCGAACGGGGAAAGCUUUCGGGUGAGUACUAGUGGCGCACGGGUGAGUAACGCGUGGAUAAUCUGCCUUAGAGUGGGGGAUAACUAGUCGAAAGAUUAGCUAAUACCGCAUAAGACCACAAGAACUGCGGUUCAAGAGGUCAAAGGUUUUUCGCUCUAAGAUGAGUCCGCGUAAGAUUAGAUAGUUGGUGAGGUAACGGCUCACCAAGGCAACGAUCUUUAACUGGUCUGAGAGGAUGAUCAGUCACACUGGAACUGAGACGCGGUCCAGACUCCUACGGGAGGCAGCAGUAGGGAAUAUUGCACAAUGGAGGAAACUCUGAUGCAGCGACGCCGCGUGAGUGAUGAAGGCCUUCGGGUCGUAAAGCUCUGUCGCAGGGGAAUAACACAAUGAAUGUACCCUGUAAGAAAGGAUCGGCUAACUUCGUGCCAGCCGCCGCUGUAAAAC
rnacentral:rRNA from 1 species